rnacentral:misc_RNA from 1 species
GAAAUGCGAUAAGUAAUGUGAAUUGCAGAAUUCAGUGAAUCAUCGAAUCUUUGAACGCACCUUGCGCCUUUUGGUAUUCCGAAAGGCAUGCCUGUUUGAGUGUCAUGAAAUCUCAAUCCCCUUGGGUCUCUUGAUCUGGGGUGGACUUGGACCUGGGUGUCUGCCGUUUGUCGGCUUGCCUCAAAUGACUUGGUGGGAUCAGCAUCCACGGCCUGACGUGAUAAGUUUCGUCUGGCAUGGUGUGAGGCCCGCUCAUAACUGCCCCUUGUGGCGCUCUUUUGGACUCUGACCUCAAAUCAGGUAGGACUACCCGCUGAACUUAA